rnacentral:rRNA from 1 species
GACGAACGCUGGCGGCGUGCUUAACACAUGCAAGUCGAACGGAAAGGCCCUGCUUUUGUGGGGUGCUCGAGUGGCGAACGGGUGAGUAACACGUGAGUAACCUGCCCUUGACUUUGGGAUAACUUCAGGAAACUGGGGCUAAUACCGGAUAGGAGCUCCUGCUGCAUGGUGGGGGUUGGAAAGUUUCGGCGGUUGGGGAUGGACUCGCGGCUUAUCAGCUUGUUGGUGGGGUAGUGGCUUACCAAGGCUUUGACGGGUAGCCGGCCUGAGAGGGUGACCGGCCACAUUGGGACUGAGGUACGGCCCAGACUCCUACGGGAGGCAGCAGUGGGGAAUAUUGCACAAUGGGCGGAAGCAUGAUGCAGCAACGCCGCGUGCGGGAUGACGGCCUUCGGGUUGUAAACCGCUUUCGCCUGUGACGAAGCGUGAGUGACGGUAAUGGGUAAAGAAGCACCGGCUAACUACGUG